rnacentral:rRNA from 1 species
CCCUUAGAUGUUCGGGGCCGCACGCGCGCUACAAUGGAUGAAUCAACGCGUCAUCCUGGCCCGAAAGGGUUGGGGAACCGCUGAACCUCAUCCGUGGUUGGGAUUGGGGUUUGUAAUUAUUCCCCAUGAACUAGGAAUUCCCAGUAAGCGCGAGUCAUAAGCUCGCGUUGAUUACGUCCCUGCCCUUUGUACACACCGCCCGUCGCUACUACCGAUUGGAUGGUUUAGUGAGAUCCUCGGAUUGGUCACGGCACGGUGGCAACACUGCGUCGGUGUGCCGAGAAGACGAUCAAACUUGAUCAUCUAGAGGAAGUAAAAGUCGUAACA